UUCUGGUUUUUGCCCGAGCACCACACUGCUAAUUCAAAUAGCCAACUCCUCGUCAAGCUGUGAUGAUUUGAAUGAACUGUGUUCGGGCAGAAGAACAGAAAAUGCACGCAGAGGGAGAUCCAGGACCGAGUUUGGGAAACACUGAUUUAUAGUUGGUAAAUCCUCUCUUCUGAUAACUUUAGAUACUGUAGAAAACAACACUUUUAUAACGGUCUGAUAUCUUUUAAUACAGUAGUUUACAUUGACAGUCUGGGCUAAAUGGACCAGGACCAGAGCUAGACUUGGAUCAGCACCAAAGAGCCAUGGAUGUCUGGUGCUGCUGAGAGAGGAGAAACAGUACAACACUAUUUACACAAUACUUAUAGGUUAUUUACACAAUACUUAUAGGUUCUUUAUAUAAUACUUAUAGGUUCUUUAUAGAAUACUUAUAGGUUCUUUAUAGAAUACUUAUAGGUUCUUUAUAGAAUACUUAUAGGUUCUUUAUAGAAUACUUAUAGGUUCUUUAUAGAAUACUUAUAGGUUCUUUAUAGAAUACUUAUAGGUUCUUUAUAGAAUACUUAUAGGUUCUUUAUAUAAUACUUAUAGGUUCUUUAUAGAAUACUUCUAGGUUCUUUAUAGAAUGUUUACAGGUAGCUUUUAGGUUAUUUAUAGAAUACUUAGGUUAUUUAUAGAAUAUUUCUA